UACGGAGGGGCUAGCGUUGUCCGAAGUUACUGGGCGUAAAGCGCGCGUAGGCGGGUUGGUAAGUCCGCUGUGAAAGCCCGGAGCUUAACUCCGGAGGGUCGGUGGAUACUGCCAGUCUUGAAGGUGCUAGGGGGAGAUGGAAUUACCGGUGUAGCGGUGAAAUGCGUAGAUAUCGGUAGGAACACCAGUGGCGAAGGCGGUCUCCUGGGGCAUUCUUGACGCUGAGGCGCGAAAGCUGGGGGGAGCAAACGGGG
rnacentral:rRNA from 1 species